GGUCUCGAAGUUCAGUUGGCUAGAGCGUUGGCUUUUCUUAAGCCUUUUAAUUUCUGGCGUGGGUUCAAAUCCCACUAAGGCCA
rnacentral:tRNA from 1 species